GACCUAAACCAAGCGGCUUCGCUCGGCAUGGUCAAAGAGACAGGUAAUGCAUAAAGAACCCUCACGGGUUUGCAUUACCUGCCACGCUGGGAAACUGGCGCGUCCGCUUCGGCGGA
ncrna:unclassified sequences LOOT RNA